GACGAACGCUGGCGGCGUGCUUAACACAUGCAAGUCGAACGGAAAGGCCCUGCUUUUGUGGGGUGCUCGAGUGGCGAACGGGUGAGUAACACGUGAGUAACCUGCCCUUGACUUUGGGAUAACUUCAGGAAACUGGGGCUAAUACCGGAUAGGAGCUCCUGCUGCAUGGUGGGGGUUGGAAAGUUUCGGCGGUUGGGGAUGGACUCGCGGCUUAUCAGCUUGUUGGUGGGGUAGUGGCUUACCAAGGCUUUGACGGGUAGCCGGCCUGAGAGGGUGACCGGCCACAUUGGGACUGAGAUACGGCCCAGACUCCUACGGGAGGCAGCAGUGGGGAAUAUUGCACAAUGGGCGGAAGCCUGAUGCAGCAACGCCGCGUGCGGGAUGACGGCCUUCGGGUUGUAAACCGCUUUCGCCUGUGACGAAGCGUGAGUGACGGUAAUGGGUAAAGAAGCACCGGCUAACUACGUGCCAGCAGCCGCGGUGAUACGUAGGGUGCGAGCGUUGUCCGGAUUUAUUGGGCGUAAAGGGCUCGUAGGUGGUUGAUCGCGUCGGAAGUGUAAUCUUGGGGCUUAACCCUGAGCGUGCUUUCGAUACGGGUUGACUUGAGGAAGGUAGGGGAGAAUGGAAUUCCUGGUGGAGCGGUGGAAUGCGCAGAUAUCAGGAGGAACACCAGUGGCGAAGGCGGUUCUCUGGGCCUUUCCUGACGCUGAGGAGCGAAAGCGUGGGGAGCGAACAGGCUUAGAUACCCUGGUAGUCCACGCUGUAAACGGUGGGUACUAGGUGUGGGGUCCAUUCCACGGGUUCCGUGCCGUAGCUAGCGCUUUAAGUACCCCGCCUGGGGAGUACGGCCGCAAGGCUAAAACUCAAAGGAAUUGACGGGGCCCCGCACAAGCGGCGGAGCAUGCGGAUUAAUUCGAUGCAACGCGUAGAACCUUACCUGGGUUUGACAUGGAUCGGGAGUGCUCAGAGAUGGGUGUGCCUCUUUUGGGGUCGGUUCACAGGUGGUGCAUGCCUGUCGUCAGCUCGUGUCGUGAGAUGCUGGGUUAAGUCCCGCAACGAGCGCAACCCUUGUUCACUGUUGCCAGCACGUUAUGGUGGGGACUCAGUGGAGACCGCCGGGGUCAACUCGGAGGAAGGUGGGGAUGACGUCAAGUCAUCAUGCCCCUUAUGUCCAGGGCUUCACGCAUGCUACAAUGGCUGGUACAGAGAGUGGCGAGCCUGUGAGGGUGAGCGAAUCUCGGAAAGCCGGUCUCAGUUCGGAUUGGGGUCUGCAACUCGACCUCAUGAAGUCGGAGUCGCUAGUAAUCGCAGAUCAGCAACGCUGCGGUGAAUACGUUCCCGGGGCU
rnacentral:rRNA from 1 species